rnacentral:rRNA from 1 species
CGAGACCUACAAGUCGAGCAGGGACGAAAGUCGGGCUUAGUGAUCCGGUGGUUCCGCAUGGAAGGGCCAUCGCUCAACGGAUAAAAGCUACCCCGGGGAUAACAGGCUUAUCUCCCCCAAGAGUCCCCAUCGACGGGGAGGUUUGGCACCUCGAUGUCGGCUCAUCGCAUCCUGGGGCUGUAGUCGGUCCCAAGGGUUGGGCUGUUCGCCCAUUAAAGCGGUACGCGAGCUGGGUUCAGAACGUCGUGAGACAGUUCGGUCCCUAUCCGUCGCGGGCGCAGGAAAUUUGAGAGGAGCUGUCCUUAGUACGAGAGGACCGGGAUGG